CCCUACGGCGGGCCUGGGCAGGGAUGCCUUCGGGCAUGCCGGUUGUGGGGAUAAGGCCGGUUCGUCAACCCUGUCUUGUGCCCGCCACCCUC
rnacentral:antisense_RNA from 2 species